rnacentral:lncRNA from 1 species
AAUAAUUUUCUAGGAAUAAUAAAUCCGCACAAAUCCUUGAAAGAAGCCUUGAUUAUAAUCGAGGACAUUUCAAUUUUUUACUCCACGGUUUACGAGACGAAAAAAUAGGUUUUUAAAGCACCCUAGAUUUCGUUCAUCAGAGCAGACUUAUCCUAGGAAACUGAUGGGAUUAGAGAACAUCAACACCAUAACAUUAUAAGGCAAAUCAAACACCAAGCAGCUUACCUUAGGUAGGGCGUACUAGGGGUGCUAAAACCUUCCCUUUACGCAACCAGUCCCUUGCCUUAGAAUCUCUGAAAGACCAGUUAGGUUUCCUAGUGACCAUAAUACUA